UAUAUGUCAAUUAAUAAGGUGCGUUCAGUAUUUAUAAAGGAGUAUUGGAUAAGCUAAAUUAUAUGCUGUUAAUUAUGGAAAGAAGUCUUUUUUCUUCCUUAAAAAACAAAGGAAGAAAAAUAAUACCCUAAGUAUGUCAACACAACCAUCGUUUUACAACUUUGCAUUUACAUAGCCUUUUACCAUCAAGGAGAUGACAAGGACCCGAACCCCUUCAAAAUGGAGUGCAGGUAUAUCCAACACCCUGGUACCAAGAAAAAUGGACGACAUCUUUAAUGGAUCCGAAGUUUCUGGGACUAUCACCAGACAGUCUUUGUUCUAGAAGAUUUGUUAGUGAGGAAAUAUCCUAAUGGUAGGAUGUUUGGAUUCGUCCUGUCGUCUGCCUCCUCAUUUAAGACAGCUCUUUCAAUUGUUGGGAAUGAGAAGCACUUGGAGACAAUAAAAGAAGGGAAGAGUUCUAUUCUGUUUGCCACCUUGCAGGAUGGGACAGUGAAGAUUGGACAGAACACUGUAGUGAGUAUAAUUUUCAUUCAAAGUGAUUAACUUAGUAUGAGGUGUACUGUAUUGGAAUAUGUCUAUUUUUGUGUGGGUCUUUUCAUCCAAUUUGUAAAUGAGAGAUGUAUUGUAAAUUUCUAGUUGGUUGGUUUAGAAAGUAUUGUAUUUCAUGACAUUGGUUUGUUGCUUUUAGAAUUCAAUAUAAGCAAUGGAACUGUAAUGUGAUGGUUUUAAUGGAAUAAUUGUCGUUCGUUUUAAUUCAAUACCGGUUCUUAAACUGUUUACAGAACGUACUGUUUGGUAUGAAUUAUUUGCUGUAAAUUUGUUUUGGAAUAUUAUUGUUAAUGGUAAUCAUUGCUUUUAAACACAAAUUGAUUGGGAUUUGAGCAUCUUAUAUUGAAUCCAAAAUGAUGUAUUCUGGUAUGUUGAACUGCAAAUAGCCAGUUUAAUCGAUGUGGUAAUUAAUGAAGCUGUGAUUUCAUUCUUUAAAUUAUGCAGCGAUACGCAUUUCUUAGCACAUGUAUGCAUUGGUAUGUUUCUCGAGUUUUUGUUUUUGGACUGAAUUUUUACAGGAUUUAUUGUGUAUCAAAGUUGUUGUUUAUGAAGCAAACAUAUAUGUUUUAAAAUAUCAAUAUACCGGUAAUGUAAAAUUAUGUUUCACUUUUGUGGGUCAAUGGUCAUGGGUAGUCUAAAUGUUCAUCUAGGUUGAGGUGUGUUAGGGUGUAAUUUCUUUGGUAGCAUGUUCUAAUUUGUAAAUAAAUAUUAAGAAGUAAUUAAGGCUUGUAUACAUAUUUUUUAUUUUGGGAUUGUUAAUUUUUUGGCAAGGAUUACUAACAAAAGUCACAAAGAUUGACAGAUUUUGCAAUUUGAGGUAAGUUUGGGAUACAUUUGUAUUUAUUCCAAUAUAAUAAUUGUUUUUAUAUUUAUAAAGGUUGGGAUUCUUUUGAUAAUCAAAGUUAGAUAUUGAUUAAUUGUGCAAUAGAUUUUAUUUUUUUAAGUUUUAUGUUAGUAAUGAAAAUUGUGCCAUUUUCAUUAUAUAUUCAUUUCCUUUAUAGGUUUUGCAUUUUUAUUUUAUGAAUUGUU